rnacentral:ncRNA from 1 species
UGCUAACUUUGCACCGAUGGUGCUCGUGCGGGCGUUCGUCCGUAUGAGUUAAAAGGGAAACGAGUGGAAUUCUCGUACAGUCCCGCUGCUGUGAAGCCUCCAUUGCACGGCGCAUGAUGCCACUGUGAAAAAGAGUUGAUCCUCCUCGUGAGGUUCGCUUCGAGUACAUGGGAAGGCGUGUCGUGUAGAGGUCAGUCAGAAGACCUGCCAUCCAAGUGCAUUCUGU